CAUAGCCCAGAUGAAGAGGCAAAGAUCCUGGUCGAACAAUGGUGGGUGUAGGAGUAGAGAUUACAGCUGGCUUGGAAGUGGCCUCCUGAGGAGAAGAAGAUAACCAAUCACAAAAUGGUUUAAGGGACAGGUCACAGCUUGUAAUGUUUGGCACAGAUUUACUGGAUUGGAGCCAGAGGUUACCAGUGAUACCCCAAAUAUGUCAUCACUUCAUCCUAUUGUUCCAGGGACACACACCUCACUCACCCAGUCUAGGGGAAUCCUGGGAUUUAGACCACUUGGCUAUUUCCCUUUCAGGGAUGUUGACUUGAUGAAUGAGAUGACAGCUGGGAAAUCACUUGGAGAUCUUAGAAGAAGAGGAGGUGAAAUGAUUUUGGAGUUGACUCCUAGGUACUCCUGAUCAGCUCUGUUGGGAACCAGGGAGCUAUGAACCUUUUCUCCACCAACCUAGAUGAUAUGAUAGCCCAAUUAUCAAAAGUAAUGAAGACAAUCCAGCUAUUAAAGUUCUCCAAACAAGCUAGGAAAGUUCCCUUCUGGGGACUCCCCGUGUGUGGCUGUGGUCUCACUUGGAGGCCCAAUGUUUUGGGCUAGUUCAAACAGGCAUGGAUUUGGGCAACAAGGCAGGAGGAGCUGAUGGUAGAAAGAAGAGAAAACCAGGGCCUGAGGGAAAGGCAGGAGGGAAGAUGAAGGGGGAGGAGAGAGCUUCCCUGGCUGAAGAACCAUCAGCUCGUAAGCUGUAAAUGGCUUUGUGGAGAGCAAUAAACCAUAAGAGGUAAUGACCCUGA